rnacentral:rRNA from 1 species
GAUUUUCAUCAUAGCUUGCUAUGAUGAAAAUUAGUGGCAGACGGGUGAGUAAUGCAUAGGAAUCUACCUAGUAGUAUGGGAUAGCCACUAGAAAUGGUGGGUAAUACUGUAUAAUCCCUGCGGGGGAAAGAUUUAUCGCUAUUAGAUGAGCCUAUGUUAGAUUAGCUAGUUGGUAGGGUAAAGGCCUACCAAGGCAGUGAUCUAUAGCUGGUCUGAGAGGAUGAUCAGCCACACUGGAACUGAGAUACGGUCCAGACUCCUACGGGAGGCAGCAGUGGGGAAUAUUGGACAAUGGGCGCAAGCCUGAUCCAGCUAUGCCGCGUGAGUGAGGAAGGCCUUAGGGUUGUAAAACUCUUUCAGUGGGGAAGAUAAUGACGGUACCUACAGAAGAAGUCCCGGGGCAAAC